AGAUGUGAGGGCAAUCUGGCUGUGGCAUCUGCCAUCUCAUGAAUCACCAGGGUUGAUUUGGCUGAUCUAGCUGGCUAGGCUGGUGUCCUUUGUCUCCCUCACCAUGCUUUGUGCAUCCCUCCUAAGGCUGCACACUCAGUCAAAAAGGACAACCUUCCCCAACUAGAGAAAGACCUAUCUUCAGUUAAGAAUAUACUAGUAGCUGUGUUCCCCUGAUAGAACUUCAAACAAGCUCUCAAGGAACUACUUAAGUGGGGCCAGUAAGAACUUCGGUGCAUGUAACUCAGUUCAAAUGCUUACACCGAGAGAUUGGACCAAACCAAUCCAGCUUU
ensembl:misc_RNA 7SK 7SK RNA